rnacentral:sRNA from 1 species
UCCUCUCGUCCACAGGUCAGGUACAGUGCGGGCAGGUGCACUGCCGGCUGCCUUACACCGCACCCCCUGUCCACCUCAAAGCCGAUAUGGAUGGGCCACUCUCCAGCCGGGGUGAGAAGGUAA